rnacentral:rRNA from 1 species
CCUACGGGAGGCAGCAGUCGGGAAUAUUGGACAAUGGAGGAAACUCUGAUCCAGCAAUGCCGCGUGUGUGAUGAAGGCCCUAGGGUUGUAAAGCACUUUCAACGGUGAAGAUGUUGACGGUAGCCGUAGAAGAAGCCCCGGCUAACUUCGUGCCAGCAGCCGCGGUAAUACGAAGGGGGCGAGCGUUGUUCGGAAUUAUUGGGCGUAAAGGGCGCGCAGGCGGUUUGGAUAGUUAGACGUGAAAGCCCUGGGCUUAACCUAGGAACUGCGUUUAAUACUGCCAAACUAGAGAACUAGAGAGGA